AAUAACAUGGGCUAUGUUAGUAUUGGGUAAAGUGUUUGUUAUCCAAAAAACUGGCAUUGAUGACGUGGCAAGUGAUCCCUGGACACGUGGAUGACAUCUGGAGGAACUCUGCUAGUGUAUCGACCAGAAGGUACAUUAUAGGCAGAAGGCGGCCCAGUCUUUCCUGCGACCAGUCUGGUCGAUGGAUCCGCAUGCAGCAUGGUGUUCCAAUAAAGAUCUUUGUAAAUCCCGAAAUUAACUCACACAAUCUCCUGAGUAUCCGAUUAUUCAGGAGAGAAUAUCUGUAACAAUCUCGUGUAAUCCCCCUUAAGCCUAUAAAUAGAGAAAGAUAGCUCAAGGAAGGGACCCUUUUUGGCUUUUGAAUUAUUUGAUACAAGAGUAAUUCUCUCUAAGAUAUUGUAUUGUUCUUCAGAGGUUAGUGAAACUCAUUGAACCCUAGUUUUUUUAUCACUCCUUUGAUUCCCACAUCAAUAACAAUUUAAGUGGACGUAGGUCAUUACCAGAUCCUGGGGCCGAACCACUAUAAAACAUCGUGUUCUUAUUAUUUUUGUCAUUUGAUUCUUUUCAACGCAUUCAUUCACAUCAAGCAUAUUCUGACUCCGUGUCAGUUGACCAAAAUCAGGGUCAACAGUGUUAUAAACUGUUUUUUAUAGGACUUUUUCAGAGUUAUUCAUAAUAUUUUUUCUUGUGGUGUAUUAACCUUAAUUACACGUUUAUAACCAAAUCACUUUAUUAUCUAGUUUGAUAUUAUUUAAAGUACACAGUGUAACCGUCAUAGAUUAGAAAGUUGUUGGAGCGUUACUGAUUCCUUUUGACAAUCACUGAAAGAAAAAAUGUUGUCAUCUCAACCAGAUUUGAAUGGCUCCCCUUGCCAAUGUCAUGGAGAAAGAAUGUCAUCUCUUACGUAAUUGUAGAGGUGUGUGAGGUCGGAAACCUCUAUGACAUGACAAAAUGAUGCAACACAAUGUAUUUAUGUGUCAUGUCAAUGGUUUUGAAUGAAGCAUGUGCUGGCCCAUCAGCAUUCUGACCUAUCAAUUUAGAGGCGACAACAUCAUUUAUAACAGCUUGAUCAGAGGGGUUAGUGAAAUUCAUUAAAGGAGUAUCUAAAGCCUUAAAAAUAACCUCAACAUUAAAAUCAUAUAAAUGCCCCCUUACAGGCACUUUCCCAAAUAAAUCAGAACCCUCUGCCUCUGUCUGAUCAUACUAUUUUGUUUUGUAAAGCUAAUUUAGAUCAACUUCGGAUCUUCUAGUAAUGCCUCUAUAAAUAUGGCUACUGGUCAGGAAAAUCGGUUAACAUGAGUAGGUCAUUUAUUACUUUCUCUCAGAAUGUUCGGCAAAGCCUUAGAGAUAAUGUGUAGAAUCAGUUGAGGUUUAUACUCACGGAUAACCUAGAUAGAUUCUUGGGCAAUCCUUUAUUCAUCAAUAGAAAUAAGCACUAGAGUUUCAAGUUUGUCUUAUAUGAAUCAUCUGGAAAGUUCCCAAGGUAAACUCCUAUCUCAAGCGAGAAGGACUACAUUGAUCACUUGAUUAGUUUACGGCAUUCUUAGUUACUGCAUGCCAAUUUUUUACUUCCUAAAUCUAUAUGUGUAGAGCUUGAUAAGAUGGUUAUGAAGUUUUGCUGCUCGGACACUCUGAGAAUUCUCAUUACUUGGUUCUUACAAGUUGUGACUCUAUUUGCAACCCUAAAAAUUGUGUAGCAAAAAUUGCAGAUAUUAACUUCGCAUAUAUAAAAAAACUUGGUUGGAUGAUUGCUUCAGGAAGUGAUUCUCUCUGGGCAACUGCUUUUCGCAAUAAAUACUGCAGGGGUGCUGAUUUCUGGCCUACUAAAAUUUCCUCAAUAGUAUCUUUUGCUGACUGGGAAUCUGGAGCACAAGGGACUUUAUAUGUAGUAAUUCUAGUUACACAAUUGGGAAUGGUUUAUAGGCUUUAAUCAGUCAUUCCCGUGGCUAUGUCUCCUUCUUUGGGAGAAUUAUGGUGUUAUUUCAAUUCUUGUAUAAAGUCGUAUUCCAAUAUGGCUUUCCUGUUGAAUUAUCCCGAUGGGAGCUUGAACCUUCAUGCUCUUCUGAUUUAGCUGAGACCUGAGGUGGCUAUUUAAGUCUUUAAUUCCUCCAAGUUUAGUGGUAAUUAGCCUAAUAAAUUGAUUUGAAGAGAUGAUUUUAAUGGGGACUUCUCAGUUCAUCAAGCGUACAUGAGUCUAAAUAAAAGUCGUUUCCAGGAUUCUCCAAUUAUUUGGAAAAAGAUUUAGAACUCAAGCCUUCAUGUGCGCCUAAAAUUGUUCAUCUGGAAGGUUUCCAAGGAUAUCUUGCUAUUUGGAUAUCAGCUCAGGUCCCUGUUUGGGGUGGAGUCGAUAUGUGCGAUAUGUAGGUCGGGCCUAGAAAAAUUAUGGCAUUUGUUCUUCCAAUGUGAGUACGCUAGAAGAAUUUGGAUCACUUGUAUAUACUACUCAUAUGAGCCUUCUUUAUUGGAUGUUUUCUCAACAUACUACAAUUCCCCUUCUAGGCCCAGCUACUGAAAACCAUGCUUUAUAUAUUGCUAUUAUUUGUAAAAAUAUAUGGCACUCUAGAGACCUUUGUCUCCAUUCCGGAAAACUUGAUCUUCCCCAGGUUUCAAUAUGUAGGACUAAUUGAAGUUUUUUUUAGUUUAUUUAGAGUAGGGCUCAUGAUGUUUCUCAUAUACAACAACGCCCUAUCAUCUCUUCUCGUUGGCUGAAUCCAAGACCUGGCAGAAUGAGGAUUUUCUUUGACACUGCUUUCAAAUAUUGGAAUGGCACGGCAGGAGUGAUGGUGCAGAAUGGUGAUGAUGCAGUGGUCGGUCUUGCCUCUUCCCUUCUUGUCUCCCAAACUCCAUUCAAAGCUAAAUUGAAAGCCUUCAAAUUUGUUCUAAGUUUUGCUUCAGAUCAUGAGUGGGGAAAUGUCGUUUUCUUCACGGACUGUGUACAGCUUUCCAUGCCCAUGGAAUCGGACAUGUUGACGCGGUUUUUUUUAAGAAAUAAUAAUGUAGAUUAGUAUUUAAUAAUAAACCUUAAUAAAAAAAUGAAAUGAAUUCAAAAGAACACAAAUAUUUUACAUAGUUCAGUAGUUAAAAUCCACCUAGUCCACGAGUCUAUAUUAUUAUUGUUUCUCUCUCUAUUUUGGCAGAGUUUCAGUGUUACAGAAUAAUUGGUCUCUUUUCCUGUCCAAUGUUCUCAGUAUCUAUAGAAAAAUUCCAUGGACAGGUUUGGGUAAUCGCAUGAGUCAAUCACGCAUAUACAUAUUGUUGCGAAUGUUCUUAUGUGUGUGCAAGUGUACACAAUCGUCAAAAAAAAUAAUAUAAUGAAGUAAUUUUUAUCGUCUCCUCAAGGAUUGUCAAGCAAAUAUUGUAAAAAAAUCAACACCAAACAAUUUGGGGUACAAUUAAAUUUUUUUGAUGAUUUAAUUAAUUAAAAUAAGUCUUCAACACUAAGCCAGAAAAUGACAAAUUGUGAUUAAUAUUAUGAUAAAAGUUCGACAUAUCAAAUCCCCCUAAUUUGUAGUUUUGCCCCUGAUGUUGCAAUAAAGUUCAUAGCAAAGUUCUCUUGUAACUAGGAUUUCCAAUUUAAUGCACAUGCCAUUUUUCCAAAUGCUCGUGUUAAAGUUCAUUAAUUAAAUUCACAUACUCCUAUGCUAAAUUUAAUUUCAAGAACAUAAAUUCAAGCAUUAAUCUUUCAAGUUUGCAAGGUGAAUAAAAUAUCCCUAAGUUAUCCACUAAUCAAUAACAAAAUUAUCAACAUGCAUCAAUCAAGUAUUUCCACUAAUUCUAACCCUUCCAGAAUUAAAACUACCUUGUUUCUCACCUAAGUUGAUCAUUCUCAAGCAAGAGUUUGCACAAUAAAUAUAGCUCAAAUGAACAAGAGAACAAUUGCAUAAAACAUUCAACACCUUGGGGUUAAUUACAAAUUAGGGUUCAUCAAUAUCCCUAACACAAACCAAUUAACUCAUAAUAAAAAUACCCAAAUCACCACAAUAUAUAUUCAGCAUUAUCUCAAAAGUUCAAGAUGAGAAAAAAGAAAAUUAUAGGAAAAGAGAGUUUAGGAAGACAAGCCAAAAUGAUAGAGAUUUUCUAUUCUUUGUCUUCUAACUUUUCUUCUUCUUCUAGCUUCCUCCUCCUCGGUAUUUCUCUUCUUCUUUUUUUCUUGAUGUUUCAGCUCCAAAGGUGCAGAAAACUCUUUCAAUGGUGAUGGGCGGCUGGGUUGGUUUUCUGGAGAAGAUCUCUUCUCUUUUUGGGCUCAAAAAGGGUAUAAACCCUCUCCUUGUCUCUCUACACGCAGGUACCACUCUCCUUUUCAGACUUUUUCAGCUCCUUUCCACCUCAUCCUCCCACUCUUAAAGUCUCUCCAUCUCAUUUAUUCACAUGCCAAGUGUGCAAACUUUAUGUUGCUGGCUGCCCACACUUUGCUGCAGCAAAGUUGACUGAUGCUACAACAAAGUGCCAGAAUUUCAGGUCCAAAAUGAUUUCCUUGCACAUGCUUCACUAAGCUUUCCAAGAACCCUUUCUUUUUGCCUUCAAAAUAGAUAACACAUUUUUAGAACAUAAACCCAUUAUUUUCCACAAGAGUUAUCAUUAAUUAAAACAAAAUACACAAACAAAAUUAAAAGACAAAAUGACUAAAACCAUACAAUAAUAACACAAAUACUCUAUUUCACUUAAAUUUUUAAGUUCAGAAGCUCAAUUAAUAACUCUAAAAUAUAGAGUUAUCACAUAUUUAUUACAUUUAAUACAUAUAUUUCUCAUUUAUAAUGGGAUAUGAUUUGAUCAUACAGUAAAUGUUCUCCUAAUAUAUGAGACAUUAAAUAUGACAGCCUAGUCAUAAAUAAUCAUAUAAUGGGAUUCUGAGUCUCCAGGGAUCAUUGAGUAUGCAAUACAUUCGAGUUAGCACGAGAUGAACAUCUCCUCCAAGCUUGUAUUUCAAAUGCAGUUUGAAUAUUAUGAGCUCACACUUCACAACCUUCGUGUCUAUAGCUCGGGUUAAACCCAGGACGCCUAACACCACACGUGCCCAUGUGAAACUGGAGUUGCUUACGUGGAUAAUAAGCAGAUAUCAUUCCCUUGGUUAUUUCUCCAUAUAUUUAUUUGCCAGCUAUACCCGAACUGAGUGAAUGACUUGAGCUACAAUUAAGGUACAACAUUUGCCCCCCAAGCUCCUGCUCGUGUAUGACGUCAUCAUUUUCUGACCUACACAGUAGGGGCUUUUAGUCUUCUAUUACACAAAACCAUGCCUGCCCACUACUCGAGUACUGGACACGUGGUAUACCGCAAUUGGCGUCUAUUCGGGAUUCGAGGACUGCAAUAAUUGUCUUGUCACCUUUUUGCCGCCGUUUUGUCUAUUUAACCAUGGCCCUUGGAUCUUGUACUAAUCGAAUUGGACGACCCAAAUUAAUUUACGCAGUUUACGUAUAAAUAGGAUAGGCAAUUUUCAGAUUUCACCACCUUUCAUUUGAAAAUUUUCUUCUUCUACAUUUUUGAAUCCCUCUUCUUUCUCACAAUUCUCCAAAAAUCAUUCACUGUACCCCAUUACUCAGGAGUUUUCCAAGAACUUCCCUUUGCAAAAUCUUACGUCUUGCCGUCAAAGAACAUACUGUAAGUACCUCUGACAUCUUGGUUUGAAAAAAAAAAUUUACUGGUCUUUUUUGUUCUUCACCAUGCUCAUCCGCACUAUUCACUAUAGUCAAUAUUAGGCUAUUUCCUGAAUGUUUUUAGCGAAUUGGCCUCGACUUAGGUUCAAUGGGUAGGUCCUAAAAUAUCUUUAGAACUAUGACAUUCAUAAAACUGGGUAAUUUCUAGGUAAACUUGGGUAAUCUCCAAGGUGAAUUUCAAAAAUACCCAUUCGGGAUAUAGGAGAUGAAAUUUUUUUAGGGUUCAAACCAGGUUGCUUAGGGGUCACGCUUCUUGGGUGGUUUUGCACUAAACCACCUCCCAAGGAAAGUAGUGGUCUGAUUUUCUGACACACGAAUCCCUAAAUAUUAGGGGUCUGUUAGGAAACCGAGGUGCGUAACUUAGGGUAGCGCGUGGCAUCACGCGAUGGGGCUGAGUCUAACUUAGAUCGUAUAUCAAAAGUAAACCAUUCCCCCUCCAUACUCCCGUGUCGUAACCUUUAAAUCCUCUUAGGUCGUUCUGUUCGUUAGGCGAUCUGAUGGCUCCCAAGAAGAAGGCAUCCAGCUCAUCUGCUCAGCAAAAGAACAAGGGGAAGGAGGUCACCCCUGAAUCUCCCACUCCCCACUUUGGUCCGGUGGUGGAAAAGGAGGUGGUGGUUGACCCCAACACCUUUGUCGAGGUUGAACACAUCAUAUCCAAGAUCACGACCCAAGAGAGGGUGAACAAGAUCAUGCUGAGCCACAAUAUUGAGGUCGGGACUGAAGUUCUCAUUGCUCGGCCUGCUUUUGAAGGGGAAUGGAGCUGCUCCCCUCUCCAGGAUGACUUCACGACCUGGAGUGACGAACACCUGAAGGCAGAAGCUUUUCUCCCCUUGGACCAAUAAUUCGUGAACUUUUUGAACUUCGUGAAGUUGGCUCCAUUUCAGCUCCCCCCAAAUUCUUAUAGGCUUUUAGCGGGGCUGAAAUAUUUAUUUUUGAAGCAUGAGUGGGAGGUCCCCACUCCGGUAGACAUCCUCUAUUUUUUCUGCCUCAAGGCUAGCCCAGAACAGAGUGGUCGAGGUGACGGGUUCUACUAUCUCACCAGAUUCCCUAACUCUGCUCCCGUCAUCGAGCUUCCCAGCCACCCCAACGACUAUAAAGACAAAUUCUUUAUGUCGAAUGGGUUCCAAAAUUGUGAACACAAAUACUUCAACCGUCCUCCCAUAUUUGCGAGGACGGCGAAGUCUGUGGCCAUCGGGAGUCAAUACGAGACGUUGUCCGGGCUUCCACCUAGCGAGAAGGACUACUGCCAAGUCAUGAAUGACGUCACGAUGCUGGCGUGUCAGUUGAUUGGUGAAGGCCAGACGUUGGCCUUAAGGACCUGGGCUAUCCUCCUAGUAAUCCAUGAGCUCCCAUCCUCUCAAGAGGAGGCCUUGCCAGCCACUGAAGGCGAGGAUGAGGAAGAGGACGAGGUGCCUCUUGUGCCGAAAAGGCGAGUUCCCGAGGCCAGAUGUCGUGAUUAUAGACUCCUCCCCCAGCCCGGAGGAGAUGGAACAAUUCCCUGAAGCCUUUCGGGGGAUCAUUUACGAGACGGCGAGUCAUAUGGUGGGGCAUGCCUAUAGGGCCAGCUCGAGGGACUUGAGGACUAUUGAGGAGCAGAGCCAGGAGAAUGUCCUGGAAUCAGCCAUGGGGAUGAACCUUUUUUCUAUUUUGGCUCAAUAUCGUAGUAUAGCCCGUGCUAGGGCUAGAAAUGAUGAGCUCCAGGCCGACAACGCUGCCAAUACUGCCUUGACAGCCGCUCAAGAAGCCGAGCAGGUCGCCAAAACUGCCUUGGCGGCUGCUCAUAAAAACGAACACGAGGCCAAGACUGUUCUUGCCUCAUCCCAAGAAAGCGAGCUGGCUGCGAAGACUGGCUUGACUGCCCUCUAGGCUCAAAAUGCACAACUUCAGGCCGAGGUUGAUGGAGCCAAAGCUAAACUGCUCGAGGCCGAGGCCGUAGUCAAAGAAGAGAGGGCAGUCUCAUUGUCAUCCAUGGAGGAUAUGUUGUACCAUUGUGGGCCUUUAACUAGGAUGGGAACUUUUCUUUCAUGGCUCCCGAGCUAUGGGAUCCUUACCUUGAAAAAUUCAAGGUUCAGAUUUUGCAAGAACCAUCAGAAAUGGGGGAUGCUUCUGCGGUAGGCGAGCAAGAUUGCAAUGAGGUUACAUCCUCAAAGCGACCUGGAGGAGCUUAGUGGCACCCUUUUUCCUUUUUUGGUUUUUUUUUAUUUCUUUGUAAACAAUUGCCUUUGGGCUCAGUUUGAGGUUUUUC